rnacentral:rRNA from 1 species
CUACUCUUGACAUCCAGAGAAUUUGCUAGAGAUAGCUUAGUGCCUUCGGGAACUCUGAGACAGGUGCUGCAUGGCUGUCGUCAGCUCGUGUUGUGAAAUGUUGGGUUAAGUCCCGCAACGAGCGCAACCCUUAUCCUUUGUUGCCAGCGAUUCGGUCGGGAACUCAAAGGAGACUGCCGGUGAUAAACCGGAGGAAGGUGGGGAUGACGUCAAGUCAUCAUGGCCCUUACGAGUAGGGCUACACACGUGCUACAAUGGCGUAUACAAAGAGAAGCGACCUCGCGAGAGUAAGCGGACCUCAUAAAGUACGUCGUAGUCCGGAUUGGAGUCUGCAACUCGACUCCAUGAAGUCGGAAUCGCUAGUAAUCGUAGAUCAGAAUGCUACGGUGAAUA